GUCAGUGGCAGAGAAAAUGGACUCUAAUAUGAGAAAGGCCCUCAGAGGGGGUCCUUCCAGGAGAGCUGGGGACAGGACCCACCGCCUGGAGAGGUGACUUUCAGGAGUCAGGACUAGGAACUCACUGAGGCAACUGCAUCCUGACUUGGUGCCUAGGAUUCUCAUCUACGUUUGUAUACGUUUGCAACAUAGGUGUGAAGUCCUGAAAACCUCCAUUAGAGACAGGGCACUUCUGCAAACUGAUGUCCUGGGUCAGGACCAGAGUCAGAAGACCAGAUCCUAUCUGCGUGCUCAGGCACUUCACUUCGAACAUAAGCUUCAUGGGGUCAGGAACUUUGUUUCCUUGACUGUCAUACCCCUGGAAUGCUGCCUGGCAUAUAAAAGCUUGCAGCACAAGGAAAGUUAGAAAUAAUUUUUCUCUGGUGGAAUGAGUGAAGAUCAAGGUGUGAGGCAUGCCUGGCCUCAGUGGGCCGGAACCCAGGGAGCGCCAUGUCUCGGGAGGAGUACUACCCUCAUUCCAGCGCUGGGAUCGCUCAUCACUGAAUCCUCAACGCUGGGCACACUGUGGGUGCUAAGUAAAUGCUUUGUGAAUGAAUGUGGGGUUCCACAGAGCUCUUGAAGCUGUGUUUCCUGCCGAAGUAGGGGGACCCCGGCCCACCUCUGUGUUGCGUUGUUAUUUGGAUCUCGAGGCAGGCUGCCUUGUGACCCCAACUCUGCCCAGAGAUCCUUGAAGUAAAAGCUUUUACACUUUUCACUUCCAUCCUCCUCUCCCUCCAGCCCUUCUCCUUCCCGGGUUUCAGGGCUGGAGUGUGGUCUGAGUGACAGGUCUUGCUGAGCUGGAGACUUCCCGCCUUCAGCAGAGACAGUAUUCCUGCAUCCAGCAGCAAAUUUUCUCUACUUGAGGCCUUUUCUCUUCUCAUGCAAAUCCAAAUCCAUCCCAAGACCUGGGCCGUGUGGUUGAUUAACUCAGUGCCAACCCAGGGCUCAGCUCUGGCUCCGGGCGGCAGCUGCAGGACUCGGGGCACACUGUUUACCUUCUCUAAGCCUCAGGCUCCUCAUCUGUGAUACACAGAUAGUAACAGCACUUCCGUUCGGGCUUGGCGUGAGACCCUGUUAGGCACGGUGACUCAGGCAGACCCCAGACAAAACCCAUCACGGAUCGGAGUCUAAAUGUUAUUUGGACCAGCUUUUUGUUUAAGGUUUCUUGAGGACACUGAGGAAAGAGGGUACAUAGCCCUACACACAGCAAAACUUCCUUAAAAUUCUCUGUAGACAUUUCUCCCGCUUACCCAACUUCCAUCCCCACAGCAGCUGCCUUUUCUCUCUCUCCAGGUGGUACUCGAUGCUGGGAUCAUCUUAUCUCAGAGCUCCAAGCUCUUCUUUAUGUAGAAAGAGUUCCCUUUUGACCACUAGUUUCUGCAUUUUUACCAUCCCUUCAGCAAACAAAAGACUCUCCCUCAAGGUCCAUUCUCUACAGUGGAAUAAUAUAUACUUAAAAAAAUAUAUUCUUUGUUCUGGUCAAAAAUUUGAAGCAUUAGUUUGCCAAAACCCUAAAGCUGAGAUCCCUUUAAAAUAGCUUUUUGUUUUUGCUAAUUUGUGGAUCUCAACCUUGGCUGCACCUGAGAAUCACCUGGAGAACUCCCGAAACCCCAGGCUGUACCCUAGUCCAGCUGAAUCAGAAUCUCUCAGGCAUCAGUAUUUUCAGUUGAAAACCACUACUCUUGGUCCUUUCCUCUUUAAAAUGUGCUCCACAGACUGGCAGCUUGGGUGUUAGGUGAGAGCUAGUUAGAAAUGCAGAAUCUCAGACCCCUUCCACACAGAUCAGCUUCUGCAUUUAACGAGAUCCUUGGGUAACGUGAAUGCACAUCCAGAAGCACCCCUUUCGGCCUUGCUCAGCCUCCAGGUGAAGUGAGAGUGGCCAGCAGCAGAUGCAGGUACUGUCUUGGAGGACUUCACCCCAGGAUGAAUGCAGGGAUGCAUGAUGAACCGCCAGAGAUCCUGAGCAUAAAAUCGGAGGGGGUCCUCACAUCUGUAUGUUCACCAGGCUCUUAGGGGCUCCAAUUACCAGCCAGAAGUGGGUACCCUCCCCAGGGAGGUGGUUCUCAACUCUGGCUGCACCCUGGGAUCACCCUGGGAUCACCAAGGGGAACUUAAAUAUAAUCGCUAUACCAAGACUGCAGCGCACACCAACUGAAUGAGAAUCCAUGGAGGAACCUGCAGGUGGACACCGGAGGCUGCUCACGCCUACACCCGAUGAUGCAGUCUCACCGCUGUGGCUGGACUCUGUUGGUCUGGAAGUUUCCCUACCCAGUGGAGACACAGUUCCAUGGAGACACAGGGUAAAAUCCUACAGAACUAGAACUAGGACUAGACUGUGAUAAAUGCUGAGCCUACAGGGUCUUGGCAAAGGAGCCCUAUGCUGAUUAUCCAGGGGAGGCACUGCUGUCAAACAGAGGGCAGGGGACUGUCAAGGCCAACAGAAAACAGACUACACCAGGUAAGCAGGUGUAUCAGCGACCCUUCCCCCACCUCUUUCUUGUUCAUCUUGAUUGAAAGAAGGUAAUCUGUCAUGACCCAGCUAAAGAAUUGCAUUUGGUUUAACUCAGUUAUAAUGUUCCCCUCUCCCUUUGCUAGAUACGUGAUUCGCAGCUUCCAGUGUAGCAGGAGUUGUCACCUCAUGUGGUUCUGGCCAAGAAGAUGGGAGGAGAAGCCUGCUGGAAGCCCAGAGGAAAGCUGUGGCUUUGCGGAUGAAAAGCCGCUAGCCAGUGCCAUUCUCUCGCUAGUCUUCCUGCUGUGAACAUGGCCAAGGUGCCCAUGAUGGUAUCUUGUGAUCGUGAGGCAAAGGGCAGGAGUGGAGUGGAGAUGUGACCCAGAGACCUGACAUUAUAGCCAAACCUACCCCAGAAAUUGCUUUCAAUUUCUUGUUACAUGAGAAAAACAAAUCCCUGUAUUUAAACCACUGUUAUCUGGAUUUUCUGUUAUUUGCAGCUAAGAGAUUUCUUGAUAGCAAAAGGUAGAAUCACUCAGUUGGGCAAAAAACAAAGAGAACCUGGAAGAUGAGUGAAGGGAAUUACAGAUGUCCAUUAACUACAGCCUCAGGAUCAAUUGUAGAAUUAAGGGCAUACCCUGCCUCUUUUUCAGGUUUAUUUUCCCCUCCUUGCUAAAGUGUCUGAAAAUUGAGGAAUUAUACCCUAUUCUGCCACCACCAUUUUUAUAAAACAAGACAGAUGUUAUUAUUUUAGCUACUGCCAGCUUAAGAAUGUUCUGUUUUCCUUCCAUCAUGUUUAUCAGGUGCAUUGGUGGUGGUGACAUUCACCAUUUGCCCUGAGUCUGCGAAAUAAUGAGGAAUAACCCCUAGAAAUGGUAGCAGAGGGAACACAAGGAGAGUGAGUACCCUCAGGAGAUCGUGGGCUUGAUGCUGAAAAACAGCUUUGUCAGUGGCGGUGUGACAUGGCCGUGGCACACGAUACCUGCAGGACGUGCACAUUUGAUUGUCUCCUUGCUGGGAGCAGGUGAGUUGUGUGCAGCUGUGUGUGUUAUGAUUUGGAACGCUGGGUGGGAGCCGUGAAGACAGAAGGAUGUGUUGCAGGUGUGCAGUAAGGCGUCUGCUGUGUUCCGUGUUCUCCUCGAGCUCAAACUCCUGGGCCUCCAGCCACCUGCUCUGAGACGGAGCCCUUGGCUGGUCUUUGCACGGGAGUAACCACUGACUGAGCCGUGGGGAGGUUGCCUGACUCUAGGACAGUCUGUCCCCACAAUGGCCUUAAUGUUGUCUAGUAUGAAAAAAUGGCCUCAAUAAAUAGAUUUUCUCUCUUA